rnacentral:lncRNA from 1 species
CCGAUCCCGAUUCCAGACCCUCACUCCACCAAUCAAACACCCCCUAAGAAGAUUGAUUAGGGAUUGAAUAUGGGAAAGUGAACAACUAUAUAAUAGUGUGGCAUAUUAUUUGGAGAAUCUAUAUCCAUAGGUAAGAACAGACAACAAAUCAUCCAAAGUCACUUAUCCAUUCAAUGUGAAUUUUAGGCUUCCAUCCAAAUGUUGGUAUAUAAUUGGCUGUCAUGGCUCAAACAAAGAAAGAUAUUAUUGGAAUGAUAUAAAUCUGAGCCGUUACAGACAAGCUCAGACUGCUAUUUUUCUCCCAUCGAUUGAACAGCUAAUACUCAUCAAAAACNNN